rnacentral:rRNA from 1 species
AAAUAAUUUAAGGUCUGACCUGCCCACUGAGGAUUUAAAUGGCCGCGGUAUUUUGACCGUGCAAAGGUAGCAUAAUCAUUAGUUUUUUAAUUGAAAGCUGGAAUGAAAGGUUGAAUGAGAAAAUUACUGUCUCUAUUUAAUUUUUUUAGAAAUUUAUCUUUAAGUAAAAAAGCUUAAAUAAUAUUUGAAGACGAGAAGACCCUAUAGAGUUUUAUUAUUAAAGGUUUAAGGAUUAUUAGUAUUUAGUUAUUCUUAUUUUUAUAAUAAUUUGAUUGGGGUGAUUGAAAAAUUAAAUUAACUUUUUUUUUAUUUUUACAUUUAUUUAUGAUUAUUUGAUCCUUUUUUUAAGAUUAAAAGAUUUAAUUACCUUAGGGAUAACAGCGUAAUUUUUUUUGAGAGUUCAAAUCGAAAAAAAAGAUUGCGACCUCGAUGUUGGAUUAAAAUAAAAUUUUGGUGUAGCAGCUAAAGUAUUUGGGUCUGUUCGACCCUUAAAAUUUUA